rnacentral:rRNA from 1 species
CAUAGGUUAAUGAGGCGAACCGGGGGAACUGAAACAUCUAAGUACCCCGAGGAAAAGAAAUCAACCGAGAUUCCCCCAGUAGCGGCGAGCGAACGGGGAGGAGCCCAGAGCCUGAAUCAGUGUGUGUGUUAGUGGAAGCGUCUGGAAAGGCGCGCGAUACAGGGUGACAGCCCCGUACACAAAAAUGCACAUAUUGUGAGCUCGAUGAGUAGGGCGGGACACGUGGUAUCCUGUCUGAAUAUGGGGGGACCAUCCUCCAAGGCUAAAUACUCCUGACUGACCGAUAGUGAACCAGUACCGUGAGGGAAAGGCGAAAAGAACCCCGGCGAGGGGAGUGAAAAAGAACCUGAAACCGUGUAC